UACAGAGGUCCCAAGCGUUGUUCGGAUUCAUUGGGCGUAAAGGGUGCGUAGGUGGCGCCAUAAGUCAGGUGUGAAAUUUCGGAGCUUAACUCCGAAACUGCAUUUGAUACUGUGGUGCUUGAGGACUGGAGAGGAGACUGGAAUUUACGGUGUAGCAGUGAAAUGCGUAGAGAUCGUAAGGGAAGACCAGUGGCGAAGGCGGGUCUCUGGACAGUUCCUGACACUGAGGCACGAAGGCCAGGGGAGCAAACGGG
rnacentral:rRNA from 1 species